GAUGAACGCUAGCUACAGGCUUAACACAUGCAAGUCGAGGGGAAACGGCAUUGAGUGCUUGCACUCUUUGGACGUCGACCGGCGCACGGGUGAGUAACGCGUAUCCAACCUUCCCAUUACUGUGGGAUAACCUGCCGAAAGGCAGACUAAUACCGCAUAGUCUUCGAUGACGGCAUCAGAUUUGAAGUAAAGAUUUAUCGGUAAUGGAUGGGGAUGCGUCUGAUUAGCUUGUUGGCGGGGUAGCGGCCCACCAAGGCUACGAUCAGUAGGGGUUCUGAGAGGAAGGUCCCCCACAUUGGAACUGAGACACGGUCCAAACUCCUACGGGAGGCAGCAGUGAGGAAUAUUGGUCAAUGGACGGAAGUCUGAACCAGCCAAGUAGCGUGCAGGAUGACGGCCCUAUGGGUUGUAAACUGCUUUUGUAUGGGGAUAAAGUUAGGGACGUGUCCCUAUUUGCAGGUACCAUACGAAUAAGGACCGGCUAAUUCCGUG
rnacentral:rRNA from 1 species